UCAGUGGUUAGCUCAAUCGGUAGAGCGUGAGACUCUUAGUGGUAUUCACGUUUUCCAAAAACGAUUGAUCUCUCUGCAAUCUCAAGGUUGCGGGUUCGGUUAGUCUCCCCCACACAA